rnacentral:rRNA from 1 species
UUGGGAAUCUUGCGCAAUGGGGGAAACCCUGACGCAGCGACGCCGCGUGCGGGAAGAAGGUCUUCGGAUCGUAAACCGCUUUUCUACGGGACGAUAAUGACGGUACCGUAGGAAUCAGCACCGGCUAACUCCGUGCCAGCAGCCGCGGUAAUACGGAGGGUGCCAGCGUUGUCCGGAAUUACUGGGCGUAAAGCGCUCGUAGGCGGUCGCGUACGGCAGUGGUGAAAGCUCCCGGCUCAACUGGGAGAUGCCCAUUGCAACGGCGUGACUUGAGGGUGGUAGAGGCAGAUGGAAUUCCUGGUGUAGCGGUGAAAUGCGUAGAGAUCAGGAGGAACACCCAUGGCGAAGGCAGUCUGCUGGGCCACACCUGACGCUGAGGAGCGAAAGCCAGGGGAGCGAA